UACAGAGGGGGCAAGCGUUGUUCGGAAUUACUGGGCGUAAAGGGCGCGUAGGCGGCCCGCUAAGUCGAACGUGAAAUCCCCGGGCUCAACCCGGGAACUGCGUCCGAUACUGGUGGGCUUGAAUCCGGGAGAGGGAUGCGGAAUUCCAGGUGUAGCGGUGAAAUGCGUAGAUAUCAGGAGGAACACCAGUGGCGAAGGCGGCUCACUGGACCGGUACUGACGCUGAGGCGCGAAAAGCGUGGGG
rnacentral:rRNA from 1 species